AUUGAACGCUGGCGGCAGGCUUAACACAUGCAAGUCGAACGGUAACGGGAAGAAAGCUUGCUUUCUUUGCUGACGAGUGGCGGACGGGUGAGUAAUGCUUGGGAAUCUGUUUCAUGGAGGGGGAUAACUACGGGAAACUGUAGCUAAUACCGCGUAAUAUCGAGAGAUUAAAUGUGUGGGACCCCAAGGCCACAUGCCAUGAAGUGAGCCCAAGUGGGAUUAGAUAGUUGGUGAGGUAAUGGCUCACCAAGUCGGCGAUCUCUAGCUGGUCUGAGAGGAUGACCAGCCACACUGGGACUGAGACACGGCCCAGACUCCUACGGGAGGCAGCAGUGGGGAAUAUUGCACAAUGGGCGCAAGCCUGAUGCAGCCAUGCCGCGUGAAUGAAGAAGGCCUUCGGGUUGUAAAGUUCUUUCGGUGGUGAGGAAGGUUGAUACGUUAAUAGCGUAUUGAUUUGACGUUAGCCACAGAAGAAGCACCGGCUAACUCCGUGCCAGCAGCCGCGGUAAUACGGAGGGUGCGAGCGUUAAUCGGAAUAACUGGGCGUAAAGGGCACGCAGGCAGUGACUUAAGUGAGGUGUGAAAGCCCUGGGCUUAACCUAGGAAUUGCAUUUCAUACUGGGUCGCUAGAGUAUUUUAGGGAGGGGUAGAAUUCCACGUGUAGCGGUGAAAUGCGUAGAGAUGUGGAGGAAUACCGAAGGCGAAGGCAGCCCCUUGGGAAUAUACUGACGCUCAUGUGCGAAAGCGUGGGGAGCAAACAGG
rnacentral:rRNA from 1 species